GAAGGUGGGGAUGACGUCAAGUUCUCAUGGCCCUUACGGGCUGGGCUACACACGUGCUACAAUGGCGGUGACAGUGGGCAGCAAGGCAGUAAUGCCAAGCUAAUCUCAAAAAGCCGUCUCAGUUCGGAUUGAGGUCUGCAACUCGACCUCAUGAAGUUGGAAUCGCUAGUAAUCGCGGAUCAGAACGCCGCGGUGAAUACGUUCCCGGGCCUUGUACACACCGCCCGUCACACCAUGGGAGUUGGUUUUACCCGAAGGCGAUGCGCUAACCGCAAGGGGGCAGUCGACCACGGUAGGGUCAGCGACUGGGGUGAAGUCGUAACAAGGUAACC
rnacentral:rRNA from 1 species